UGCACAAGCGGGUUGAGCAUGUGGUUUAAUUCGAAGCAACGCGAAGAACCUUACCAGGUCUUGACAUCCUUGGACAACCCUAGAGAUAGGGCUUUCCCUUCGGGGACCAAGUGACAGGUGGUGCAUGGUUGUCGUCAGCUCGUGUCGUGAGAUGUUGGGUUAAGUCCCGCAACGAGCGCAACCCCUAAUCUUAGUUGCCAGCAUUCAGUUGGGCACUCUAAGGUGACUGCCGGUGACAAACCGGAGGAAGGCGGGGAUGACGUCAAAUCAUCAUGCCCCUUAUGACCUGGGCUACACACGUGCUACAAUGGAUGGUACAAAGGGCAGCGAAGCCGCGAGGUGUAGCAAAUCCCAUAAAACCAUUCUCAGUUCAGAGAUUGCAGGCUGCAACUCGCCUGCAUGAAGCCGGAUGCCGCUAGUAAUCGCGCAUCAGCUCAACGUC
rnacentral:rRNA from 1 species